UACGUAGGGGGCGAGCGUUAUCCGGAUUUACUGGGCGUAAAGCGCGUUAAGGCGGUUGGCAAAGUUGGUGGUGAAAUUUCAGGGCUCAACCCUGAAACUGCCUCCAAUACUGGUCGGCUAGAGUGCGAGAGAGGAAGGUGGAAUUCCCGGUGUAGUAGUGGAAUGCGUAGAUAUCGGGAGGAACACCAGUGGCGAAGGCGGCCUUCUGGCUCGUAACUGACGCUGUAGCGCGAAAGCGUGGGGAGCGAACGGG
rnacentral:rRNA from 1 species